UCCCAGCAGGGAGCCUCUCAUGCUCCAACUCAUCCUCCUGGGAUGGGAAUGCUGCCUGCAGGAACCAGUACAAGUUCUGUCCUGCUUAAGAAAAGGAGCAGACUGGGAAGAACCAGAAUCAGGUGCCAUCAUUGUGCCAUGGAAUUUUCCUCAGCAAGACAUCUGCCCUUCACAGACUUGGACAACACAGACAUGGAAAGAAAUAUGUCUGCAAUUGUAAAGACAGAGUGAAUGAAGAACAAAGAACAUCCCUUGCUAGCUUUCAUUUGGCUAACACAGGUAAAAAUAGUGGUGGAGAUCCUUUCUGGCCAUUAAUAUGGUACAUUGCCUGCUAACUAAACACAGGGUACCUGGGGUCCUGGAUAGUCUGCCUGAGCUGAGAUUUACGCACUUAGACAGGUUGCCAGUUUUCAGUUGCUUGUAACGACAGCAAAAUUAGACUAACCAAGAAUCUCUGUCACUGGUAGAACUACUCAUUUAUAAACAGGUUGACAUUCAUGGUGAAAGUCGGAUCUGUCUGACGACAUGUAACUGCAUACCUUUCACUUUUGCCUUUCACUUUUGCCUUUCACUUCAAAAAUCCUGCGUAGGCCUGAACAUCACCUCGUUCUCAAGGAGCAACCCCAUGCACUAGAUAAAGCCUGACACAGUAUCUCUUCAUGAGGAGAACAGGUGAGCAUCAGUCUGUUGCUAUUUACAUAUGUGCCCUACUUGAUAGAGCUACUGACCUGUGAUGUAACGUAGUGCUAGCCCAGGUGUUGCAUUACUGAUGUCUCAUUAAAGGUAUUUUUUCCACAGUUCAGGACUGUGCCUUUCCUUAGCUGUGACCUCAGCAGAUGCACUUUGUGUUGCAGAAAGAGGAUGUGAGAGAGGGCACGUGCUCAGGGCAUAGUACGCUUGGCACUGGUGAGUGAUAAUCCAGCAUAAAUUACUGUCUAAUUGAACUGGUUUUGCCAUUUGGAUUUCACACAUUUCAGCAAGGUGUGCAAAUGGUGGGGAAGGGAGGCCAUUUUAUUUGUUGUAUUUUUUUGAUUGCAAAGCCUGAGUGUUGGCCUUAUGUCUGUUCUAGUGAAUUGGCACUGCACACACACACACAGACUUGGAUUUCCUUUAUGAAUAGCUGAAAUUCCAGUCUUGCCUGGCACAAGGGUAAGUUUCACAUAAAGAACAGCCUCUGUGGAGAGUUUUUGAAAAUAAAUCAAAAACCUGAGAGACUGAGAAAAAUUCU
rnacentral:lncRNA from 1 species